AAUUCGGUCGGUGCCUACAACAAGUCUUGAAUUCGGUACCAAGCCCUACUUUUCCCUUUGUAUUUGAUCUAUUACUUU